CCUACGGGGGGCUGCAGUAAGGAAUAUUGGACAAUGGUCGGAAGACUGAUCCAGCCAUGCCGCGUGAAGGACGAAGGCGCUCAGCGUUGUAAACUUCUUUUGGAUGGGGAUAAUAACCUCGAUUUAUCGGGGCUUGAAGGUACCAUCAGAAUAAGCACCGGCUAACUCCGUGCCAGCAGCCGCGGUAAUACGGAGGGUGCGAGCGUUAUCCGGAAUCACUGGGUUUAAAGGGUGCGUAGGCGGCGAGGUAAGUCAGUUGUGAAAUUCCCCGGCUCAACCGGUGGGACUGCGAUUGAUACUGCUUUGCUUGAAACAGGUUGAGGUAAGCGGAAUGUGACAUGUAGCGGUGAAAUGCAUAGAUAUGUCAUAGAACACCGAUUGCGAAGGCAGCUUGCUGGGCCUUGUUUGACGCUGAGGCACGAAAGCGUGGGGAGCAAACAGGAUUAGAUACCCCGGUAGUC
rnacentral:rRNA from 1 species